rnacentral:lncRNA from 1 species
GGAAGGGAGGUAUAUGCGGAAAGGUGCUAAUAAUGAGUAGCCCUAUGCAGACUGUCCAGCCUGAGUUUUCUUCUAAGAUCAGGAGAAGAAUGUUUACUUCCCAGCGAAGAGAUUUACAGCAUGAAGUUGACAUGGGUCAGCUGCUGAACAGUGAAAUAAACUUCUCUCUGCUUCAUGGAACUUCUAGCUGACCUGAGACGUGAUUACAGAGGAGGACUGCCCUGUGUGGGCCACUGCUGUCAUGGAGGCUUCCAGGAAGGCUGGGGGAAGUCCACCAAAUUCCCUGGAUUUUACCAUAAGAAUCUUUCCUCUGGGCCUUCAACAACAUCAUCCUUCCUUUAAAGGCGUAGACUAUCUGCUUAAACAUCUGGUUACAGUCUCACAUGUUUCUCAGAUCUACUUUGUGUACCCUCAUUGUGAAGUUACUUAUUUUGGGAACUGAGAAUCCUAUGAAAUUGGUUAUCAAGUUUAUUAUAGAGCUAUUUCCUCUUUGCCCUUCUCUGUUUAGAAUUACAAAAGUUUACAUUUUUUUUUAUUGUUCCAUGUGUUUUGUUUACUGACAUAAUAAAGAGAUUUGCAUUGCAUCCA